GCCAGGUGGGUCCAGAAUCUAAGGAAUGCAUCCCUUCAUGGCAUACCUUUGGAUCAGCUGCAUCGGACCUAAAGGGUGUGCAGUGCCCAUUUCCACAGCAGCCUGUUCAAAAGACCAUCUGAUGUGCCCCUAACCCACCUCCCCCACUAGAUGUCGAGAGGAAGCGUAAACCUCCGAAGACACGCCAGGAGUUGCCACGUAAAAAACGCAAGCAGAGUCAAGUUCCUCCUCCCUCCAAAGACCAGCAUACUGGGGAAGCUGUAGCGGGGCCUUCAUCA